CAGGGCUCCAGUGCAGAGCUGUGAAAUUGACAAGAAUGACAGCCAAUAAAGACCCUUUCCUACCCUUCGUGGGUAAAAGGCCAGAGAAAGUCAGGCAAAGCUUUUGAGGGUCCUAUCAGCAUAUGCAAAAUACAAUUCUCAAAUAGACUACAGUCAAGCUGCUUUUACAGGUUACAUUCUUUAUAAUGAAGAGCCUGGACACUAGUAAGAGAACCCAUUCUAUUUGCCUCCACUAAGGGUGGAAGCUACAAGAGGAAGAGAAAAUGAAGCAGGAGCUGCCUUCAGGAACAGGAGCCACAAGGCAGACAGCAGCUGCCUGAAGAGAAAAGGGGACCAGUCAGGAGACUAGAGGGAAAGAGAGUCUGGGUUCCAUGUGUUGUGGUGAAGGGCACAGAGACAGGAAAAGGUAUGAACAGAUCAGAUGGAAAGGGUGGGAUAUGAAAUGAAUAUUUCUUUUCCCCUGAAAGGACACAACACUACAUUAGAGAUAGUUAAUAAUAGCUGGAAACAUUACAAAAAACUUUCAGUAUAGAUAAGGUUCUAAUACUUAAUUAUAUACAGUUAAAUACUAUAUUUCAACCCUCUGAGAAAUGGGAGACUUCAAAAGACCACUUGCUUAUUUAAUUAUUACUGAAAAGCUAAUGAGUAAUUCUAAAGGGUCCAAAGUUAACACUUUGAAACUAUAUUCUGAAACUCAAACUUGGUAUAGAAGACAAAUGUGAAUAAAAGAGGAAAGGAUUUAGAUAAAUUAUUUUAGAGCACUGACUAUUUAUUUGGCAUAAGAUAAUUUUCUCCUCCAUAUGUGUUUACAGUAAAAGAAAUGUUAAUUCGGUGGGUAGUGAUACUCUCAUUUAAGGAAAAUCUACAAAGAUGCAUUGGUUGACAGCUGAAUUGAAUGUGGAAUGAAAGGUACUUUUAUCCAUAUUUGGUUGAAAUACUUCAGAGUACAGAUAUAUUGGUCAAGAAUUUGAACUCUUAUAAUAGAUAAAACAAAAAUGAAAUUACCAGUGGAUCCUUUGAUUGUGUUUUUGGGGCAUUCAGAGAAAGAGAGAUCCAUUGGAUAAUACAAAAUUCUGAUAGCAUCAAGGUGUAUUCUUGCAGAAUUUUAGAAAAAGAGGAAGCCCCUGAUAACCUAUUGUUUCAAAAGAGAUUGAUAUAUUCUUUUAUGGAAAAAGUUUAUAGGUGAUCUGCAACAAGGGGCUAGUAGCCUUUCUCAGAUUAAGCCGCCAUUUCUGGAAUAUAAAAAAAGACAAUAUAAAAUAAAUAGACCUGGGAAAUACAGACAUUUUGUUUUACUGUAAAACACUUAAUCUUUUUCUUCUGGUCUAGUAUAUAGACAGAAUUAUAAUAUGUAGAACUCAUGUAUGUUAAACUUCAGCUCUUACUACAAGAUUUUUCAAUAUGGUAAUGUAAUUUGAAAUGGAACAAUGAUUUUUCUUAUAUCUACUACAUCUGAAAAACUAUGAAUAAGACCGUUAAAAUAUCUAAAUAUUUUGAUAUUACUCUUCCAUGUAAGCAAUUACUAUAUUAAAAUUCAACACCCAUCAAGUUAUUUGUCUUCACACAUGCAUGUUCACAGGCUGUCUCAUGCACUAUGUAAGUGUAGGUUGCUAUUUGUCAUGCAUACUCAGGUCACAAUUCAUGCGGCUUACGAUUUUUUAAUGCACAUUCAUGGAUAUCCCUGCACACAGCUGCACUCAUGCAACCAGUUAAAAUGCAUGCAUGAAUCAUGUGAUAUGCUCAUCUUUACAAGACAUCAAAUCUUGAAAUGGUACUAGCUGCUGUUUGUCUCUUACUGGCCACCUUUAUAGUUUCUUAUUAAAAAUACAAAAUGUAAGACACUAUUUUUUUUUCCUGUUAAGGAUUUGUCUGUUUAAGGUCAAGUACACUCAGAAGUACUGUUAAAAUGCCUCUAAUUUAUACUUUUUUUUUCUUACUAGCAUUCAGUUACAUACUAAAAUCUUUCAGCAACUAAUUAAACAUAGCAUACCUAAAUUAUGGCAGCAUCUUAUAAGUAUGACUUCAGUUAGUACUACGUACAUAUUUAAUUAUAAAUGUUAAAACUUUUAUGAUUUAGACUAAAAAUGUCUAUGUGGGAGCUGAUGUGUUCCUUUUGAAUCCCUUGACCCCUCUCCAAACUAUUCAACAGUGGGUAUCUCCAAUUUACUGAUUUAGUAUUUGGAAAAACCCACAAAGGUCUGAUCUUUGAGGCUGGGCUGAAUGGUAAUAGAUAUAUGAAGAUGCAUCCUAAAUGUUUGUUAGCAGUAAUGUUACUUCUAGAAAGCUGCUAGACCACCUGGAAGCACUGUUGAUCAGUACCAUUUUAAAAACAAAUUAAACAGUUACUUGUUAAAU